rnacentral:rRNA from 1 species
GUGCCAGCAGCCGCGGUAAAACGUAGGGGGCGAGCGUUAUCCGGAAUUACUGGGUGUAAAGGGUACGCAGGCGGAUUUGUAAGUUGGGUGUAAAAACUUGGGGCUCAACCUCAAGCUUGUGCCCAAAACUGUAAGUCUAGAGAGUAGGAAAGGGAAGUGGAAUUCCCGGUGUAGCGGUAAAAUGCUUAGAUAUCGGGAGGAACACCAUUGGCGAAGGCGGCUUCCUGGCCUAUCUCUGACGCUCAUGUACGAAAGCUAGGGGAGCAAACAGGAUUAGAUACCCUGGUAGUCCUAGCCCUAAACGAUGGGUGCUUGGUGUUGGGAGGUCUUCUCUCAGUGCCGGAGCUAACGUGUUAAGCACCCCACCUGGGGAGUACGACCGCAAGGUUGAAACUUAAAUGAAUUGACGAGG